rnacentral:rRNA from 1 species
GACGUAGGAGGCGAGCGUUGUCCGGAUUCAUUGGGCGUAAAGAGCACGCAGGCGGUUUGGCAAGUCGGAUGUGAAAGCCCGGAGCUCAACUCCGGACCUGCAUCCGAAACUGCCCGACUAGAGGUAGGUAGGGGAGAUCGGAAUUCCAGGUGUAGCGGUGAAAUGCGUAGAUAUCUGGAGGAACACCGGUGGCGAAGGCGACAUCCUGGACCGGUAUUGACGCUGAGGCGCGAAAGCCAGGGGAGCAAACGGG